GACGAACGCUGGCGGCGUGCUUAACACAUGCAAGUCGAACGGUGAAGCGCCUUCCUUUUUGGUGUGUGGUGAGGAGUGGCGGACGGGGGAGUAACACGUGAGUAACCUGCCCCCUUCUUCUGGAUAACCGCAUGAAAGUGUUGCUAAUACGGGAUAUUCUGGGUCUGUCGCAUGAUGGGUCUGGGAAGGAUAUUGUUUCGGUUGGGGAUGGGCUCGCGGCCUAUCAGCUUGUUGGUGGGGUGAUGGCCUACCAAGGCGGUGACGGGUAGCCGGCCUGAGAGGGUGGGCGGCACUGCUGGGAAUGAGACACGGCCACGCCUACGACGGGAGGCAGCAGUGGGGAAUACUGCACAAUGGGAGGACGGAUGAUGCAGCGACGCGGCGGGAGGGAUGGAGGCCUGCGGGUUGUGAACCUCUUUCGCGAGUGAAGCAGGGCUGCCUCGUUUGUGGGUGGGUUGACGGUAGCUGGAUAAGAAGCGACGGCUAACUACGUG
rnacentral:rRNA from 1 species